UCAAAACAAACAAGAUGUUUUCCAUCUUCUUUUAAACAAUUAUCUUCAGGUUAACCAUUUUAAAUAAACAACAAACAUACACAAUUAACUCUGAAUGUUAAUUAAAACAACAAUUUUAACCACACCUUGCUGAAGAGGUCUAGGUGCAUCACAUUUCCUUAAAUAAAACAUGUAAAACAUAAAACAAACAAACUAACUAAAAGGACCUAAAGAUGGUGAAGACCUCUGGGAAGAGAUCCCCAUCAGGUCCUCUCUCCUCAGGUCUAGUCGUCUGGUUGGCUGCGCUGGCCAAAGGGCAGGCCGGUCUAGUUGCGGUCGGGAUCGUUCAGGCGCAGGAUGCGAAUCAGGUUGCUGACAGGCAGGGAACUGUGAGACGGGUGAGAGGUGGACAGUCAGGUGGGCAGCAGCACAGGUGGACGUGGGAUUAUUAUACAGGUACAGAAAAUAAAACAUUUAAACGCAGACGCGUACAAGUCUCAGCUCUAAAUGUAAGACAAAGCAAAGAUGGGAAAUGUAAUUGAUGAGAAGGGGUCAGUCAGGUGGACAUGGAAUUAGACAGACGCUGAUGUAGCAGGUGGGGAAGCACAAUCAGUGACCUUUCUAUCUUGUAUAGCAACUCAUUUGUGUCUUUUAAUCAUGUUUGUUAUGUCUUAAUUAUUACUGUAUUAACAUGUUUAAAACUAUUGCCCUUUUACUAUUAUCUUGUGUGUUUUAGGUUUUCUUUUUUAUUAUGAUCUUUAGUUUUUAAACUAUUCUUUGACUAUAGCCUUUCUAUACUUUUAAUUGCUAAUAUUUUUUUCUUUUUGUUUAUGCAAAGCAUAUUGAAUGACUUCUGUGUAUAAAAUGCGGUAUAUAAAUAAACUUGACUUGACUA